AACUUUUAGCAACGGGUCUCUUGGCUCUCGCAUCGGUUAAGAACGCAGCGAAAUGCGAUAAGUAAUGUGAAUUGCAGAUUUUCAGUGAAUCAUCGAAUCUUUGAACGCACCUUGCGCCCCUUGGUAUUCCGAGGGGCAUGCCUGUUUGAGUGUCAUUAAAUCCUCAACCGCGCCGAUUGAUUUCGGUGGGGCUUGGACUUUGGAGCGUGCUGGCGAAGGUCGGCUCCUCUUUAAAUGCAUCAGCGGAAGAAACCUUUGUCUUUCCUGCCUUCGGUGUGAUAAUUGUGUUGCGCCGCGGUGGAACUUCAACGAUCCGCUUACAACGGUCUUCGGACGAAACCUCAUGUCAUCUUGACCUCAAAUCAGGUAGGACUACCCGCUGAACUUAAGCAUAUCAAUAAGCGGAGGCU
rnacentral:misc_RNA from 1 species